UACAGAGGUCUCAAGCGUUGUUCGGAUUCAUUGGGCGUAAAGGGUGCGUAGGCGGCGCGGUAAGUCGGGUGUGAAAUCUUGGAGCUUAACUCCGAAACUGCAUUCGAUACCGCCGUGCUUGAGGACUGGAGAGGAGACUGGAAUUUACGGUGUAGCGGUGAAAUGCGUAGAUAUCGUAAGGAAGACCAGUGGCGAAGGCGGGUCUCUGGGCAGUUCCUGACGCUGAGGCACGAAGGCCAGGGGAGCAAACGGG
rnacentral:rRNA from 1 species